rnacentral:rRNA from 1 species
GAUGAACGCUAGCGGCAGGCUUAAUACAUGCAAGUCGAGGGGUAGUUUAGAUUCGUCUGAAUUAGACCGGCGCACGGGUGAGUAACACGUACGCAACCUACCCUGUACUGAGGCAUAGCCCCGGGAAACGUAGGGAGUUAAUUCCUCAUAGUCCUUUAGUAAUGGCAUCAUUCUUUAGGUAAAGACUCAGGCGGUACAGGAUGGGCGGUGCGUCUGAUUAGGUAGUUGGUAUGGGUAACGGCCUACCAAGCCUGCGAUCAGUAGCUGGCGUGAGAGCGCGACCAGCCACACUGGAACUGAGACACGGUCCAGACUCCUACGGGAGGCAGCAGUAGGGAAUAUUGGGCAAUGGGCGCAAGCCUGACCCAGCCAUGCCGCGUGAAGGAUUAAGG